GGUGAACGCUGGCGGCGUGCUUGACACAUGCAAGUCGAACGGUAUGUGGCAACACAUAGAGUGGCGAACGGGUGAGUAACACGUGGGAACGUAUCUUUUGCAGGGGGAUAACUGACCGAAAGGACAGCUAAUACCGCAUAAGUCCGAGAGGAGAAAGGUGCAAAAGCAUCGGCAGAAGAGCGGCCCGCGGUCCAUCAGCUAGUUGGUGAGGUAAGGGCUUACCAAGGCGACGACGGAUAGCCGGCGUGAGAGCGUGGCCGGCCACAAGGACACUGAGAUACGGGUCCUACUCCUACGGGAGGCAGCAGUGCGGAAUUUUAGAUAAUGGAGGGAACUCUGAUCUAGCGACGCCGCGUGCAGGAAGAAGGUCUUCGGAUUGUAAACUUCUUUGAUCAGGGAAGAAAGAAAUGACGGUACCUGAAAAACAAGCCACGGCUAACUACGUG
rnacentral:rRNA from 1 species